UGAUGAGGUAGAGGUUGCGGCUUUUAUGAUUACUUCCCGCGAGGUACAGAGAUGCCGAUGACUGUGAAGGAAAGGAAAAGCCGCCGAAGUCUGUUUGUUUCUCUGGGCAAGCAGGCUGGGCCCGUCUCCGAACAGGAACGGGACUGUCACACGGUUCACUUCUCUUGAAUCGUGUGGUGCGCUAUCUUUAGG
rfam:Thermoactinomyces sp. Gus2-1 c33, whole genome shotgun sequence.